UACGCCCACAUCUCUGUGAAACACAGGUUCCCGUACUAUCACCGAAGUUAACUAACGUUGAGCCUAGUCAGUAUUUAGAUGGGUGACCGCUUGGGUAUACCAGAUGCUGUAAGC